UAUGCUCUAUGAAGCGUAUAUGAGUAAUGCAAAACUACGAUAAACGUUCACCCCGGUUGACCCUGAUAACUGUUAUAUAGGUAAAUGUAUUGCAAUUUUCGAGUUAGUUUCUAAAUUGAAGUGACACAGUGCGCAUCUAUUUAAACAAGUGCCGUCGUUUUCUAAAGGUACCUUUGAAGGGUGAGAUUUUUAAUCAUCCAUAAAAGCACUAGCGACAUGCAGUUCGUGCCUGAAGGAAUGACGAUGAUGGUGGGAAGGAAUUGCGAAAGUCGUCAUAGCGUCAUCAGCAACUAGAUCCUUUUGGAAUCGUGGUGGAAUACAACAUGCGAUGAUCUGAUAGCGACAUGCAGUUCGUGCCUGAAGGAAUGACGAUGAUGGUGGGAAGGAAUUGCGAAAGUUGUCAUAGCGUCAUCAGCAACUAGAUCCUUUUGGAAUCGUGGUGGAAUACAACAUGCGAGGAUCUGAUAGGACGACUCGUUACCGGAAAUGGAAACCCAGCUACUUUCCCUGCAACAACUCCAUUGGUCAAUCGGCGCCGACGUCUUGUGACCUGGCGAUUGCUGUCAUGAAACCGGCUGGUGGAAGCAGUCCAUGGAGUGCAAAUCUCCAGUUCAUUGAAAGAGACCGAAGAAUGUAUGCGGGUUGUUCCAAUAAGAAGUAAACCAUUCGGUCACAUGCCGUACCUGUCAGAGCCGCUCAAGAAAUGUGGUCCGAUCACGCUUCAGAGAAGUCCUUCGACUAGCACCAUCAACAUCCAAAGUCCACAAGCAUCGGAAAUCGCAACCAAGAUAUCCAGAAAUUACAAGGAGCAGAUGACGUGUCCCGUGUGUUUUGAUCUUAUUUUUCUAUGCAGCAACGACUGGGGGAAUCAGAUGUAAGUGUCCCAUUUGCUUGAAAGUAGUAUAAGAACUUUAUAUAUAUAUCAAGUAUUCAAGUAUCAAGUAUCAAGUAUCAAGUAUCAAGUAUCAAGUAUCAAGUAU